GAAGCAUCAAAGAGGCUUCCCCCCGCAGAGCUGGAGGAGGUGUCUGGGGAGAGGGAGGUCUUGGAAUCUUUACUGAGACUGCUCCCCCCAAGAACCAAUCUCAGCACAAGAUGAGGAGUAUACAUUACCAUCGGUUCCCCUGCGUGCUCUGGCUGCCACAAGACACUUCUCCUCUUCUCUUCUGGAUCUCUGGUACUGGCUCCAUAACAAACAACAGAGUCCCGCUCCUUUGGAACUUCACCGCUUCUUCUGGGCUAGGGCUGAACAGUGCCAGAGAAUCCAGUGAGCCCACCACUGCUGACGAUCAACUCCACGAUGCUGUAGUUCAAUAAACACUUUGAACUUUCCCAGUGUCUGUCUCGCCUUGAACAUUGGGCGUUCUGUUUUAAGAUCAUUACAAAACCUUAAGCCAUGUCUGGCUUUUCAGUUUAAGUAGACAGCGAUUACUUGGAAUGGAUGUUGAAAGUUUAGGAAACGGUCCCAAAACUCACACCUACAUUAGAUUUCACUAAGUAUUUCCUUGAGCUGUCUGCUGUGUUUCUUCGU